CAUUGAGGUGAUGAUCAUUAUUUCUGAAACUAUGCAUGUUGACUUCUUAAUUCAGACUACAAUUAUCUGAUCAAUG